rnacentral:piRNA from 1 species
UAAGGACAAGACUACAGCUUGUGUCC